UAACGCGUAGGCAACCUGCCCUUUGCACAGGGAUAGCCAUUGGAAACGAUGAUUAAAACCUGAUAACACCAUUUGGUUACAUGAGCAGAUGGUCAAAGAUUUAUCGGCAAAGGAUGGGCCUGCGUCUGAUUAGCUAGUUGGUAAGGUAACGGCUUACCAAGGCGACGAUCAGUAGCCGACCUGAGAGGGUGAACGGCCACAUUGGAACUGAGACACGGUCCAAACUCCUACGGGAGGCAGCAGUGGGGAAUAUUGCACAAUGGGCGAAAGCCUGAUGCAGCAACGCCGCGUGAAGGAAGAAGGCCUUCGGGUCGUAAACUUCUGUCCUUGGGGAAGAAGAACUGACGGUACCCAAGGAGGAAGCCCCGGCUAACUACGUGCCAGCAGCCGCGGUAAUACGUAGGGGGCAAGCGUUAUCCGGAAUUAUUGGGCGUAAAGAGUACGUAGGUGGCAACCUAAGCGCAGGGUUUAAGGCAAUGGCUCAACCAUUGUUCGCCCUGCGAACUGGGAUGCUUGAGUGCAGGAGAGGAAAGCGGAAUUCCUAGUGUAGCGGUGAAAUGCGUAGAUAUUAGGAGGAACACCAGUGGCGAAGGCGGCUUUCUGGACUGUAACUGACACUGAGGUACGAAAGCGUGGGGAGCAAACAGGAUUAGAUACCCUGGUAGU
rnacentral:rRNA from 1 species